rnacentral:rRNA from 1 species
AUUGAACGCUGGCGGCAUGCCUUACACUUGCAAGUCGAACGGUAACGGGCCUUCGGGUGCCGACGGGUGGCGAACGGGUGAGUAAUACAUCGGAACGUGCCCGAUCGUGGGGGAUAACGAGGCGAAAGCUUUGCUAAUACCGCAUACGAUCUACGGAUGAAAGCAGGGGACCGCAAGGCCUUGCGCGGGCGGAGCGGCCGAUGGCAGAUUAGGUAGUUGGUGGGAUAAAAGCUUACCAAGCCGACGAUCUGUAGCUGGUCUGAGAGGAUGAUCAGCCACACUGGGACUGAGACACGGCCCAGACUCCUACGGGAGGCAGCAGUGGGGAAUUUUGGACAAUGGGCGCAAGCCUGAUCCAGCCAUGCCGCGUGCAGGAUGAAGGCCUUCGGGUUGUAAACUGCUUUUGUACGGAACGAAAAGCCUUCUUUUAAUACAGGAGGGUCAUGACGGUACCGUAAGAAUAAGCACCGGCUAACUACGUG